AUUGAACGCUGGUGGCAUGCUUUACACAUGCAAGUCGAACGGUAACAGGGAGCUUGCUCCGCUGACGAGUGGCGAACGGGUGAGUAAUGCGUCGGAACGUGCCGAGUAGUGGGGGAUAACGCAUCGAAAGGUGUGCUAAUACCGCAUACGUACUGAGGUAGAAAGUGGGGGACCUUCGGGCCUCACGCUAUUCGAGCGGCCGACGUCUGAUUAGCUAGUUGGUGAGGUAGAGGCUCACCAAGGCGACGGUCAGUAGCGGGUCUGAGAGGAUGAUCCGCAACACGGGGACGGGGACACGGCCCAGACUCCUACGGGAGGGAGCAGUGGGGAAUUUUGGACAAUGGGCGCAAGCCUGAUCCAGCCAUGCCGCGUGUCUGAAGAAGGCCUUCGGGUUGUAAAGGACUUUUGUCCGGGAGCAAAUGCCUGGUGUUAAUAGCAUCGGGAGCUGAGAGUACCGGAAGAAUAAGCACCGGCUAACUACGUGCCAGCAGCCGCCGCGGUAA
rnacentral:rRNA from 1 species